CGAUAUAAACACACAGAAAUAUAACAAAACAAUGCUCAAAAUGCCUCCUUCACAUAUACUCAAUACAAGAUCCAUGUAAUAAUAACUAAUUGGAAAAUAUAAGCUACUUUUACUAAUUUGUUAGAGUAUUUGCUCAUUACAAUGACAUGUUAAGUACAACUUUCUCCAGUAUAUAUUACAGAAAGCUCCUUCAGAAAUACUGACAUAUUUACACCACAAGAGGUCACCCUUAUGGAAUACAAGCUGGUGUAUUUCCACUUGCACGGUAAGACUACAAGCUGAACCAAACUAAACUUAAAAUGAUCCAAUUUUUAUCACCAUGAAUAUAAAAUUUACUACGUUAAAACUGUAGGUUUAUUCAUGCACAAGGACAACGAUUUUUUAUGAUAUAAUUAACACUUCUAAAAGAUUUAAUGAGAAGAAUUUUCAAAGAAACAAACCUUGAUAAACUUUAAUCUUGAGGAUUUAAGUGCUCUAAAAUCCAAACGCUUAUACAAACUGUCUUGAAAUUAUUGAAGCUCAUACAUAGCAUUUCCUAGUCAUCUAGGGAAGAAAUUACUUUUUUUUUUUAAAAAAAAAAAAAAGAAGAAUUGAAGAAACUUCAAUAGAGACAAUCCUACAAGUUCUGCAGAAUACAAAACCAGUUGAAUAGAAGAGACCCUGAAGCAAAGGAUGUGGUAACCUGAACCGUUAUCAGUCUAUGUAUGAGCAAUGAAGGGGAAGACCAUGUCAAAGUCUGAACUGAGGUUUUAAAAAAUAAAUAAAAGCCUGGUUAAAACCUAUGCUUCCUUAAACAUCGGUAUCAAUAGGUUUAAAGACAUAGCUCUUUGCAAAAGCAGACUGCUGCACUGCUCGUAUUCACAGAAC